GGUGUGGGGAGAACUCAACUCUCUCCGCGCCGUAGCUAACGCAUUAAGUGCCCCGCCUGGGGAGUACGGCCGCAAGGCUAAAACUCAAAGGAAUUGACGGGGGCCCGCACAAGCGGCGGAGCAUGUUGCUUAAUUCGAGGCAACGCGAAGAACCUUACCUGGGUUGAACUACGUGGGAAAAGCCGCAGAGAUGCGGUGUCCUUCGGGGUC
rnacentral:rRNA from 1 species